UACGUAGGGGGCAAGCGUUGUCCGGAUUUAUUGGGCGUAAAGAGCGUGUAGGCGGCUAGAUAGGUCCGUUGUGAAAACUCGAGGCUCAACCUCGAGACGUCGAUGGAAACCAGCUGGCUAGAGUCCGGAAGAGGAGAGUGGAAUUCCUGGUGUAGCGGUGAAAUGCGCAGAUAUCAGGAGGAACACCUGUGGUGUAGACGGCUCUCUGGACCGCAACUGACGCUGAGACACGAAAGCGUGGGUAGCAAACAGG
rnacentral:rRNA from 1 species